GCUCCGGUAGCUCAGUCCGGGAGAGCGACCGGCUGAAGACCGGUGCGUCGUGGGUUCAAAUCCCACCCGUCCCA
rnacentral:tRNA from 1 species